GUAAACGAUGUCGACUUGGAGGUUGUGCCCUUGAGGUGUGGCUUCCGGAGCUAACGCGUUAAGUCGACCGCCUGGGGAGUACGGCCGCAAGGUUAAAACUCAAAUGAAUUGACGGGGGCCCGCACAAGCGGUGGAGCAUGUGGUUUAAUUCGAUGCAACGCGAAGAACCUUACCUGGUCUUGACAUCCACGGAAGUUUUCAGAGAUGAGAAUGUGCCUUCGGGAACCGUGAGACAGGUGCUGCAUGGCUGUCGUCAGCUCGUGUUGUGAAAUGUUGGGUUAAGUCCCGCAACGAGCGCAACCCUUAUCCUUUGUUGCCAGCGGUCCGGCCGGGAACUCAAAGGAGACUGCCAGUGAUAAACUGGAGGAAGGUGGGGAUGACGUCAAGUCAUCAUGGCCCUUACGACCAGGGCUACACACGUGCUACAAUGGCGCAUACAAAGAGAAGCGACCUCGCGAGAGCAAGCGGACCUCAUAAAGUGCGUCGUAGUCCGGAUUGGAGUCUGCAACUCGACUCCAUGAAGUCGGAAUCGCUAGUAAUCGUGGAUCAGAAUGCCACGGUGAAUACGUUCCCGGGCCUUGUACACACC
rnacentral:rRNA from 2 species